GCGGAAGUGGCGGAACUGGCAGACGCGCUAGACUAAGGAUCUAGUGGAGUAAAAUCCGUGAGAGUUCGAGUCUCUCCGUCCGCA
rnacentral:tRNA from 1 species